GGGGAAUUAGCUCAGUUGGUAGAGCGCCAGCUUUGCAAGCUGGAUGUCACCGGUUCGAAUCCGGUAUUCUCCACCA
rnacentral:tRNA from 1 species